rnacentral:rRNA from 1 species
UACAGAGGUCCCGAGCGUUGUUCGGAUUUAUUGGGCGUAAAGGGUGCGUAGGCGGCCCUCCUUGUCGCGUGUGAAAGCCCCGGGCUCAACCUGGGAACGGCGCGCGAGACGGGGGGGCUGGAGUUCGGGAGAGGAGCGUGGAAUUCGCAGUGUAGAGGUGAAAUUCGUAGAUAUUGGGAAGAACACCGGUGGCGAAGGCGGCGCUCUGGACCGAGACUGACGCUGAGGCGCGAAAGCGUGGGGAGCAAACAGG